GAUGAACGCUGGCGGCGUGCUUAACACAUGCAAGUCGAACGGAAAGGCUCCUGCUUGCAGGGGUACUCGAGUGGCGAACGGGUGAGUAACACGUGGGUGAUCUGCCCUGCACUUCGGGAUAAGCCUGGGAAACUGGGUCUAAUACCGGAUAGGACGAUGGUUUGGACGCCAUUGUGGAAAGUUUUUUCGGUGUGGGAUGAGCUCGCGGCCUAUCAGCUUGUUGGUGGGGUAAUGGCCUACCAAGGCGUCGACGGGUAGCCGGCCUGAGAGGGUGUACGGCCACAUUGGGACUGAGAUACGGCCCAGACUCCUACGGGAGGCAGCAGUGGGGAAUAUUGCACAAUGGGCGCAAGCCUGAUGCAGCGACGCCGCGUGGGGGAUGACGGCCUUCGGGUUGUAAACUCCUUUCGCUAGGGACGAAGCGCAAGUGACGGUACCUGGAGAAGAAGCACCGGCUAACUACGUG
rnacentral:rRNA from 1 species